rnacentral:rRNA from 1 species
GACGAACGCUGGCGGCGUGCUUAACACAUGCCAGUCGAACGGAAAGGCCCUGCUUUUGUGGGGUGCUCGAGUGGCGAACGGGUGAGUAACACGUGAGUAACCUGCCCUUGACUUUGGGAUAACUUCAGGAAACUGGGGCUAAUACCGGAUAGGAGCUCCUGCUGCAUGGUGGGGGUUGGAAAGUUUCGGCGGUUGGGGAUGGACUCGCGGCUUAUCAGCUUGUUGGUGGGGUAGUGGCUUACCAAGGCUUUGACGGGUAGCCGGCCUGAGAGGGUGACCGGCCACCUUGGGACUGAGAGACGGCCCAGUCUCCUACGGGGGGCAGCAGUGGGGAAUAUUGCACAAUGGGCGGAAGCCUGAUGCAGCAACGCCGCGUGCGGGAUGACGGCCUUCGGGUUGUAAACCGCUUUCGCCUGUGACGAAGCGUGAGUGACGGUAAUGGGUAAAGAAGCACCGGCUAACUACGUG